rnacentral:rRNA from 1 species
UACGGAGGGUGCAAGCGUUAUCCGGAUUCACUGGGUUUAAAGGGUGCGUAGGUGGGCAGGUAAGUCAGUGGUGAAAUCUCCGGGCUUAACUCGGAAACUGCCAUUGAUACUAUCUGUCUUGAAUACCGUGGAGGUUAGCGGAAUAUGUCAUGUAGCGGUGAAAUGCUUAGAUAUGACAUAGAACACCAAUUGCGAAGGCAGCUGGCUACACGAAUAUUGACACUGAUGCACGAAAGCGUGGGGAUCAAACAGGAUAGAA